AUGUACAGGUUAGAUCAUGGAACAGCUGGUGCCAGCUCCAGGGCGAAUGAUGGGGUGUCCCCUGUCACAGGCAGGGACAUCCCACCAAGGCAUGAAAACCCCAGGAUGCGUUUUGAUGGAGCAACAUUGAUUUUCAUCAGGUUAUUGAGCAAGAAGCUGCAGCUGUACUGGCUGCCAUUCCAAAGCUGGAGGCUUCCCACCUCACAGCUCAGGGAGUUACCAUGGAAGCAAGCUGCACAGUUCUUGUGUUGGAAAGAACCACAGAAAACAGAAUAUAUUAUAUUACAUUAUAUUAAGAGCUUGUAAAGGGCAGGUUGGGAACCUUCACAUCCUCACCACUGACCAGAACGUUGCACUGUUCUGGUCAAGUGCUCUGGCACUUGCAGUCUAAGAAACUCAAACGUGGUGUAAUUGACUUUUAAUUAAAUAAGCAAUGUGCAAAAGACUUAGUAUUUCCCCUCCAGCACUCUUGAGAAAAAUGAAAAUAAGCCCACAUUUAAAAGCAAUUAAAAAACCCCACAAAAUUGAAAGUAAACCAAAUUGUUAAUGCCCUGACAGCAUGGUUGCCAGAUGCCUUGAUCUACAAGGCUGAAAACCUCAACUUGUCAAAACUAAGACUAGUUCCAACAGCUGAGCAUCCCUUUCUGGUUGCCUUUAGCUUGCCAGAUGCUCAAGCCCUCAGGCUUCAAACAGUGAUGAUGCUGACACAGUAAAUGCUGAUAUUCCUUCUGGGCACACAACAGUGCCAGGUGUGAGGGAAACACCAAAACAGGGCACAAAGUGCCAUCCUUUGGUCUCUUUUUGAAAACACUGAAACUGUAUCAAGACCUGCCAUGGGUUUCAAGAUAGCAAACCAAGUCCCAAAUCCAUCCCACCCUCUUUGAGGGCAGUAACCUCUGUAAGUGUUCUGAGCACCAAACAAAAAAGAAUUGGACUGAAUCUCAACCUGUUCUUUGUCAUCCUGUACAGGUGACAAAGCUGUUUGGCCAAAAGGUUUUUUUUUUGUAUUUUUGACUGUUUUCUCAAUAGUUGUUCCAGAACUCCUCUUCUCUCCUCCCACAAAAGGUAUGGUGAAAGAUUUCAGAUUACUCAGUCUGAAUGAUGAUAAAGUAAUCCAUUUAAUUCUCAGGAUUUUAUAUAUGAAUACUGUAAAAUUUGAGCAUAUAGUUCCUCUGAAAUUACUUCAACGGUUUCAUCAAACAAUUUUUUGCAGGAAGUGUUGUCAGAGGAGAACCUCACACAGAAACACUAUUUGGCAAAUUUGACCUGGUACAAUGUCCUUUCUCAAGAGCACGAUUCCUUCCUA
rnacentral:lncRNA from 1 species